GAUUUUAGUUUGAAUCUUAGAGCGGUAGAAAAACAAAAUGGCGGAAAGUUGUGAUCACUAAAGUUAAUUAUCUGACUUUACGCUUUAUUUAUACGAAUCGAAUCGACAAAACUUCCUGGAGUUAUCGACAUCAAGCUUCUUUACUACCUCCGUCACUCUGAAGACAUGCCUCCACCAAAGCCUACCUUCAGGUUCCGCCCGAAUGGGGAGCUGGAGUUUGCGGCCACACCUAGGGCCAAGGAUGUGGCCCAAUUGGUGAAAAAACAAAAAAAAGAACAAAAA